UAACCACUGCGCCACCAGGGAAGUCCCACAUAGUCUUUAUUAUUAUCAUUUUACAUGGUAACAUACUAUUUCAUCAUAUUAUGUAUAAAAAACCAUUUCUCCAUGGUUGGAUAUUGGGAACUAUGCGGUUUUAUGGGUAACUUAAAAUAGAUUUUUCAUAGGUGGUAUUUCAGUUCAUUACAUCUGGAGGAAUCUGGUUUCUAGGAACCCUCUUGGGUUCAACGGACCUAUAGAUUUAUUAAAAAUGAGAGUUACCCAGUAUCUAUUCCACCAGCCGUUUGUAGAAGAUAAAUAUUAGAAAGUUGGUAACAUGGAAUUAGUAUUCUAAAAAAUAGAAAAAGAUAAAAAAGGAAUAAAGGAAUGGAAAGUGCUCUUUGGGUGUCAAGGAGAGUCAAUGAGGAAUUCAAGACAUCAAUAGAGAGAUUAGUGACUAUAAUAAUGUAUUUCUGUGUUCCGUAUUAGAAGACAUUCGGCAUAGUCUGUGCGAAAUGAAGCCAGAAUUCCAAGUAGAAAUGGAAUAACUUUAAGAAAACUUUUCUUGGCACUGUAAGCUCACACAUGUACUUUUAUAUGCUACAAAGUUGAAAAAAAAAAAAAAAUUCUGAAGUCCUGAGGCCAUAGCUAUAAAAAAAAUUAAGGUUUUAAAGUAGAUUUGUGAGAGUAAGAAAACAUGUGUUACGGUACGCUGCUGUUCUAUACGGUGCUUUUGCAUGCUGGCAAAUGUUCUGCUUCUGCUAAUGUGAACAAUUAUUUUUGCUGGCAGAAAUAGUUCAAAUAAAAGUAGAAGCAAGCCACCAUUUCUUAACAUAGUAAAGCUGAAAAUUUCAAACAUUUAAUGAAAAUUUUUUACACAUUUAUUUCAUCGCUAUUCAAGGGAAGUAGUAGGCAUUCCAUGAAAGUUUGUGUUUAUGACAAAAGUAAAUUGCUAGUGUAAAGGUAUUUGGAGGCUAAAAGUAUGAUAAAUAGGAGAUGAUGUAGAAAGAAACAAGUGUAUCUAUUUAAAAAAAUUAUUAUUAUUAGCUUCAGCCUUCUCUGACUGUGACAAAACUAGGUGAGUCUGGAAAAGACAGGGUGAGUAGACUACCAAAUAUUCAUUCAUUUCUUCUUUGUGUUUAACGGAAACUGAAUUUUGCUCAGUGCGUCCAUGGGUCCAGAUAAAAUACUUUCCCAGACCUGCUUGCAGCUAGGGGUGACUACAUGACAUUUUCAGCUGAUGAAAUAAUUAACAAAACCUUCUAGGUUCUUUCCCUUUGCUCUUUCUUCCUUCUCAUUUUUGCCUGGAAAGCAGGUAGUGAGGGUGAAGGUAAUGGCCAACCUGAGAACAUCUCACAGCAAGGAUGAGGAAUUAAGCUUCAUAAUGAGAAUGGGGGAGUGAAAAAGAAGUAGGAUCUUGGGGCACCGAUGACACCAUGGAACCACUGGACCACUCUUCUCUGUACUUCGUUUUAUGUGAGGCAAAUUAUGUGAGGCUGUUUGGUUAAGCCACUGUCAUCAGAUUUCUGUUACAUCCAGUGCACACAAAUCCUAAAUGAUGCAAAGCCCUUGAUAUAGUCUCUUUUUGUAACCUAUAUUUUUAUUUAUAAAGUAUCCAUUAUGAUAAUGAUGUGUUUAAGGAUUUUUGUUCUCAAACCCUCUCAGCUAUUAAUUACAUUAAUGAGUUAACAUUUGUAAAGUAUUUCCUCUUGCUCAUCACUGUAUUUAAUGCCAAAGUGUCUGAUACAUUGUGUGCACUUAAUAAAUAUAUAUUUACAGGCAAUUUGGAAAGUUGUUUUGGCAAAUUGUGUGUAUAUAUACACACACACAUUUGCACACAUAUCUUUACAUAAAUGUAUAUAUGAGCAAACAUUGUAUAUAGUUAUAAUUAUAAAUUAUGUGUUUAAAAAUACUUGUAGGACUUUAAAAUACUCAGAUAUGAAAGAAUUACUCUAUGAGAAUAAUUGCCACUAUUUAUUUACUUUCCAAUUAGGAUUUGUAUAUGGCUGUGAUAAUGGACAUUUUUGUGUUGCGUGAACUCUAAGGUUUUAGACAAACAUAAGAGAACUGAUUGGCUGAAAGGGAGUUAAGGAAACAGUGACUUUGGAUUCCCUCCAGCAACAUUUGUCAGACCACCUGAAUAAGCAUUCUGCACAAAUCAGACAAAACAAAACACACAGGAUUUUAAACUCAGAUGAUUCACUGUGGGAAAGUUAGCUGCCACAUGGCAAGAAACCAAGGCCUCCUGCAGAUAGACAUAUGUGAGCCAUCCAGCAGGGCUCCUCCAGCCCCAGUCAGGCCUUCAGAAACCAAACUAGCUUGGACUAGUCUUCCAAGUGCUGGCUGCUGGUGUCCCCGAGAGAUUUCAGGGAGAAGCAGUCUUGGCCGAGGGUUAGAGCCAGAGGCCGACCGGGGAAGGGAACAAUGUCUGGGUUUUGAGAACAGCUGGAGCUUCGGAGGGAGAAAAGCAGCUUGGCAAAUGAGGAAAGAAUGUGCUUGUCACUUCAAGAGGCAAGAAACUUCGAUUUCCCUCCUGCCUCUGCCAACAAGUGUUUAUUGGAAAGGACAGAGUGGUGGUGAUGGCAGGUAAUGAGACUUUAUUACAAGGAUUCAAGGGACUACAGAGUCUUCAACUAUAUAGUUACUUUGCAUCUCCAAAUUUCCAAGACUGGAAUUAGUACUCUCAAGAAAAAAAUAAUCUGAUGUGGUCUCUUGUCAUUACCCACGAUGAAGUUCCUGGCCUGGCAAGGUUCACCAAACCACUUCAGACAUGGUGGCUUCCUCCACAUCCAAACUGUGCAAUAACUUACCUUUAACUUGGGCACUCUUUUCUGAGGCCAGAGUAGAAGUUUCACAAGGCAUAUCUGGUGUAAAUCAUUGCAAAUUUUUUGGAGGAAGUGUCUCUUAGGGCUGCUGUUCUUAGAAGGAGAUUAUGAGCAAAGCAGGAACUUGGAAUUUUGUACCUGUUUCCCAGCACGUGAAGAAACAAACUGGAUGUAAAGAAGUCAUGAAAAGAAGCCAGUGAGGGCUUCCCUGGUGGCGCAGUGGUUAAGAAUCCACCUGCCAAUGCAGGGAACACGGGUUCAAGCCCUGGUCUGGGAAGAUUCCACAUGCC